UUUUUGGAAUAUUGAGUCCACACAAAACAAUCAGCAAAGCUAUAUUGUAUUAUAAUAGUUUUUGACAUUAUUAGGCAAGUGACAUUUACCAAAUAAGGACGUAGUUUGCGCCAGUGCAAUAGUGAGGGCGUGCAAUGAAGUCCGAGGCUGGUCGAAAAAACUUGCCGCCUGAGUUGUGUAUUAUAUUUCUUCAACCACAAAUGUUAAUUUUUAAUUGCUUUUAGAAUGAGGAUUCAUCUGGGGUUACUAAGGUUUUCAUCUGUCAUACAAAUUGUCAAAACUACAUUUUAUUUACUUGAAUGAUUUCCAAAAAAGAUGAAAUUUAAGAGCAAAUAAAUUAUGUGAAUUCAUUCUAUCGAAAAAUUCUGAGAAACGCUUCCUAAGAGCAAGUGUUUCAAAAAAUGGUGCCUAAAAAUUAAUACAACCUUAAUAUCAGAAAUGAACUAUGCUGGUAAAUUUCAUGGAAAAGAGCAAAAUAUUAAAGAAGCCAGAAUGUUUGUGGUGCAAAUAUUCGAUGUUUAGUCAAUGCAAGAUUGAGGAUAUUUCAAAAUUUCCAAAACUCAUGACUUUUUUGAAGAGAAAAAAUGAUGGGUAAAAAUCGAAAGUUGUUUUUAACCGAAAAGAAAUUAAUAAAUUUCUCAUGAAGGCUAAACACAAUAUUUUCCUAUCGAUGAAGAUAGAUCUUGUCGUUUUCAGGAACCAUGUCACAUGAAGUUAGAGAAUGUACAAAAAGUUGAAAAAUAUAUUCAUUGUCAAUAUACCUACCAGAUUCAAGAAAUGAUAUGUUUCGUAAAUUUACGAGUGAGGAAGUAGGUGUAUGUCACUUGAAAAUUGUCAAUGAAUAAUUGCAAAUUAGAAACAUAAUUGGAAGUAUCUAUCUACGGUUUUCUAUGCAGUACCUAUCAAAAGGAUAAAUUCUCAAGAAAACCUGUUUGAGAAAACACAUUUUCGUGAAUUCCAAGCAAAAGAGCCAGUUUUCUGGGGUUGCGAACGAGUGAGACACUAGAAAUUCAUUGAGGGGACCUUCAGCUACUUUGUCAGCCAAUGCUGACGUCAACUUCCAUCGCUAAAAAGACACGGGGGCUGGAAAUAGAAUACCAUUGCAGAGAGUCGCAUACAGUCUUUCUGAUAACAAUAAAAUGAUCAAUAGGAUUUCGUACAAAAAUUGGACAUAAUAGCAAGUUAUCUCGACCUUCUGCGUAGUGUCCAAGCGUUUCCGGAAGAAUUACAUCCAUCGAUUCACCGCAACCAGUUCAUUUUUCUUCUUCAGUCCAUUUAGUCGUGUUAGAAAAACUUGUAUAUAUUUGAGUACGAAUCAGUU